AGUGGUGGUACUUCAUUAUUGAGUGGUGGUACUUCAUCAUUGUGUGGUGAUACUUCGUCGUUGUGUGGUAGUACUUCGUCGUUAAGUGGUGGUAGUGCUUCGUUAUUGUGUGGUAGUGGCCAAUCAGCGUGUGAUGCUCGCCCCGCCUAUGGUAGGCGUGUUUUCUGUAAAGAGACAAGAUGGUGCCGGAUGAAGUUAACCAAGUUUAUCCAGUUUAAAGAGGUUUAAUGCCCUUGUGUAAUUCCUUAGAUGUAUGGGGGAUUUAAAACACUCAUUUUGAGUUUAUUCAUCCAUUACACUACACGGGCCAACAGUGGAGACAGUGUGUUAUCUCCUUGUGGGUGUUGUUGGCCAAGAGCUUCUUCAAGGAGUUGUUCUGGGACCAUACAAGGGGAAAAGAGACUGAGUGGCCCAGAGAGAGACCUGAUAAAGAGAAAGGGAUUGUAUAACUAAUGUCAAUGUGUAUAAUGGUGAUUUUUUAAACAUUAAAAAUGAUGUUUUGAGCAAGUAGAAACAUUGUAGCAACC